CGGGUCAUGGCGCAGUCUGGUAGCGCACUUGCAUGGGGUGCAAGGGGCCGGGAGUUCGAAUCUCCCUGACCCGACCA
rnacentral:tRNA from 1 species